AGUCCAUGGACAGUCUAUGGUUGUCCAAAAUCAGCCAAGGGAAGGACCAGCAUGCUGAUAUGUGAACUGAUUGUGGGAACCGAAAUUCACACUGUCGAUUUCCGUUUAAAUUAGGAAACUAGGAAAACCCUAAUUUCCCAGAGGACCCGGAUAUCUGUUAAUUACCACACGACAAGCAAUCAGAACACGAGAAUAACAACGAUAAAAAUAAGAAAUCGAAAAGAGAGCAAAGUAGAUCUUAUUCCGAAUCUGCGUAUGAGCGUUACAACAAGGUAUAAGCCUGGGCUCGAGAGCUGUCGGCGAGAUUCCUAGUUCUAACAACCCUAAGACGGCUAAACCUAAUUGAGCCACAGCUCGAAAUAACAAAAACGAAAAAUUGCCUAAAUUGCUCUAAGUGCUAAGUUUGCUCUGAAAAAGUUCUCUCCUCUGCUCCUCGCCUAGGACUCCUUAUAUACUAGCUCCUAGGUCGGUUUACGCUUUUACUCUUCUGCCCUUAAGCCGUCAUAGCAUAAAAAUGGAGAUAUUCCAUUUUUCCCGAUCUUCACAAUUAUCUUCAAAACUUCCGUAUUUAUCCGCGGAAACUUGACAUUUAUCCUUCCUUGUGGGCCAAGCGUAAACCAUGCUGUGGUUUACGGGCUUUUGGUUAGGAAAAUCGUAGGAUGGGCUUCAAAUAGUGUUUUAGGUCCCUUUGGGCCGUCUUCCGACUCGACACGUUUACUACGAGUUUUCCGCGGUUUCUAAUCCGCGAAGUUUGAUCGAUGAAUUAGAAUAGCGGGAAACAUGGACUGAGAUUGCUACGGUCUUCGGGAGAUAGCAUUCGAAGGUUUGACGAGAAUGCAUGGACUGGUGUCGUAUCGAUGUUCGGAAAGGUUCAAUCGCUACACAGCGACCGAACUUUGGCUCGAGCCCGGUCGCUACGUAGCGACCGAGUGAGACGAGUGCUCGGUCGCUACGUAGCGACCGAGCUUUUGCUUUAGCUCGGUCGCUACGUAGCGACCGAGCGGGACGAGCGCUCGGUCGAUCGGUCGCUACGUAGCAACCGAGCUUGGCUGAGCUCGGUCACUACAUAGCGACCGAGCGGGACGAUCGCUCGGUCGCUACGUAGCGACCAAGCGGGACGAUCGCUCAGUCGCUACGUAGCGACCGAGCUUGGCUGAGCUUGGUCGCUACGUAGCGACCGAGCGAUCGUCCCGCUCGGUCGCUAUGUAGUGACCGAGCUCAGCCAAGCUCUGUUGCUACGUAGCGACCGAUCGACCGAGCGCUCGUCCCGCUCGGUCGCUACGUAGCGACCGAGCUUUGGCUCGAGCUCGGUUGCUACAUAGCGACCGAGCGGGACGAUGGCUCGGUCGCUACGUAGUGACCUGUUUCGAGCUUUUCGUCGGACAUCUCGAUUCUUUCUUCCGUAAAGCUUUUUCGUAAGAAAGAGUCUAUUUCGAAAAAUACUCUUCGGAAAAAUUCUUAUCUUCCUCCUCGGACGUUUUGAAUGUUAAAUUUGUCCUAACCGUUUUUGACCCCAACAGUUAGCCCCCCAGCCCGUUAGAGUUGUGACUCUAGCGGGCGGAUAGAUGACUUUGACAAGGUUAAGUGUAUUGGACGAAAUUUACAUUUAAAAUUCCGCGGAAAAAAGUUGUCGAGACGACAUUCCGAACCCAUACUUCUAUAAGUAGUGAGCUCUUGUCAUUCAUUUUCUUCACACCUUCCCUCCUUCAUUCCUUCAAAAACCUCUCUAGUUUCAUAACUUUUCUCUCAACAUGUCUUCCUCCCAAGGUGAUAAGAAAGAUUCCAACGUCGAGAUGGGUGAGGCCACUUCUCCGGCUCCGAUUCCAAUUUCUCCGGCGGAAGUGCCGGCUUGUGUUGCCGGUCAUCUUUCUUUCCGAGAGAAACUAGUUCGUCGUCAAGCCGAGAAAGAACUAGCUCAAACUAGCUCCGAGUUUCCGUCUUCUUCCGCGCAGGUCGUUGACCCGUGUCAUGGGACCGACGUCGCGGCUCCUCUCCCGCAAGUCCUACCUGCGGGAUCUUCCACGACUCCGAUCCUCGUCGAGGACAAAGAGAAAGCCGCUGACUCUAUGCCUCCGCCUCCAGCCAGAAAAGAAAUCGUUCUGGCAUUGCGUGCUCCUAGCGCUGUCCUGGCUACUCAGCCUAAGAGUCGGAGGAGGAAACUUGCCAAGAGCGGUGACGGGGAGACUUCGCAGCGAGGUGGGUCGAGCCUAGCGUCGGGACUUCGCGGAAAGGUUUGUUUCUUGUUUGAAUUCUCGAUCGUCUUUCGUGCAUUCUUUUCAGGGACUUAGUCUAACCAGUUUUUACCGUUCGCAGUUCAUAUCGUUGAUCGAUGGGAUGAUCAGCGAAUGUGGUUCUGAGACCAGUCGCCUUUCCGGGGAGUUGGUGGAGCUUCAGGGCAGAUUGUCCGAAACCGAGGCUAUGUUGACGGCUGUCGAGGAGUCUCACUCUGCGAAAGUGUCGAAGCUCGAGGUUGCGAUAGGAGAGCUUGAGAGGGACCUUGGGAAGACGGCGAGUUCCUUGCUUAAGGAAAAGAAGGCCAGGAAGGCCAAAUCCUCGGAGUUGCGUCGACUCCAGCGUCAGGUCGAGAGUGAUGCUGGACUAGCGCGCCAUGGGAUUCAAGAGGCUACGGAUGCCCUUCGCGCGGAGUUUCAAGCUCGCUUGGCGAAGAUUUCUGCUUCGCUGGGUUCGCUCGAGUGUAUCCGGAGCAGGGAUUUCGCUUUGGCGACGAUUGAGGGCGGGAUGGCCGUAGUUCGGUCGAUCCAAAGUGAGACUCCCCCGAUCUUGGAGGCCGAAGAGGCCCGGUUGUCCGGCUGCAAGGGAGAUAUGGCGGCCGAGGAUGGAGAUUUCGAUCUUAUCCUGGCCGACCUGAAAUCCGCGUGCUUCCUUCCGACGUGUUCAGAAGACCCAGAGGGGAAAGACCUGAUGGUCGGAGAGAACGGAAGUGACGCGGCUCCAGGCUCGGACAGCGGGUGAAGAGGGGGCGUAAGUUCUGAGGGUGACUUUGGUUAGAUCUCUUGCGAGAGAUUUUUUUUAUGUUUUUAUGUUUCGGCCUUGAAUGGCCUUGUUUGUAUUUUGGGACUGGCCGUGUGUGGCUUUGAAUCCCUGCCGCUCCGCGGCUUUCUUUUUAUGGUAUGAUAAUCGGAUAACGCUUUUUAUGAAUUUGUGAAUAGUGGGGAGGAAGGUGAUGAGUUGUCGUCUCAUAUCCUUCUUCGAUUGUGAAAUGUUUUAUUCGAGACGUGUUUCGAGAGUUCUUCCGCGAGAUGUGAACUCUGCGGGGGUGCUGAAGGUAUCGAACGUAAAUAUAGAGGCGUGGUUUAAGAAUCUCCUAUCUUUCGAUAUCAUGCCUUUGAGAUGUUAGAGACCAGUGCGCUGGGUUUAGGGGAAGACCUAGGUUUACUUUCGGUUUAAGGAUUGUGCGGUUACUAACCGGCUAUCGUUUUUCCUGUCGCGAUUUCUUCCUGAUUCGUAUCGAUGUAAAGUCCGCGAAAAGUUCUCGGCUUAUAUGACUUGUUUGAUACGAAUCGAGCAUCUCUCCGGAGACCGGAAGUGCUAGACCAAAAUUUCGGAUUUCUUUUAUAGCGCUAUUAUCCUUGUGUCGGAUGUAAGAGAGUCAUCUCCGUGAGAUGUCUAUGUCUGUUUAGGACGUUUGUGAGUUUGAUGUGAUCAGCAUCGGACUUGGUGGCGUGUGCCGUUGUUUUGAUUAUUUUGCGCAAAAUAAAUGUUAAUGUGUGCAUGUAUGUGUCUUUUUGCGGAGAUUUCGUUUGCUCGGAAGAAACCAACUUUGAGGCAUUUUUGCGACGUCUCGCGAUGCUAAAGGUUGAUUCUCCCAAGCGGCCGACUGAUUUCCGAAGACCUCGUUGCGAUUUCGCGGGUGAGGAUGUUUUGAUAAGUCGAAAACACCAAAAGUGUGGUAAGAAAUUUUUCGAUUUUUUGGGAGUAUACGAGUAUACGUACCCACUCCCCCCCCCCCUUUUUUAAUGAGGGGGGACAGCUGAAUUUUCCUUUCGGCAAACUGCCUACAUACUCGUAGUUCAGUGAUUGCGAGUUAGUUUGUUUAGUGAUAGUAUUUUUUGAGAUGCAUCGCAUUCCAGGUUCUAGGGAUUUUUAUGCCCUGCAUGUUGGCUAUUUCUUAAGAACCUGGUCGGACGACUUUUUCAAUUUUAUAGGGACCUUCCUAGUUUGCUCCGAGUUUUCCCGCGUUUCGUUCAGCGGUGUUUUGGAAGACUUUGCGAAGGACCAGAUCUCCCUGAUUGAACCUACGAUUCCGUACGUUGGAAUUAUAGUAUCUCGCAGCGGCGUGCUGGUAGUUUUGAAUUCGGAUGAGCGCUCGAUCCCGGCGUUCGUUAAUGAGGUCGAGGUCGUCCAAGAGCAUAGCAUUGUUGAGUUCCUCUCGUUCAGGUAAGAACCUUCUUCGAACACCGGGAAAUUCCCCCUCCUUCUAGCUCCAAACUGUGGGAACCGAAAUUCACACUGUCGAUUUCCGUUUAAAUUAGGAAACUAGGAAAACCCUAAUUUCCCAGAGGACCCGGAUAUCUGUUAAUUACCACACGUCAAGCAAUCAGAACACGAGAAUAACAACGAUAAAAAUAAGAAAUCGAAAAGAGAGCAAAGUAGAUCUUAUUCCGAAUCUGCUUAUGAGCGUUACAACAAGGUAUAAGCCUGGGCUCGAGAGCUGUCGGCGAGAUUCCUAGUUCUAGCAACCCUAAGACGGCUAAACCUAAUUGAGUCGCAGCUCGAAAUAACAAAAACGGAAAAUUGCCUAAAUUGCUCUAAGUGCUAAGUUUGCUCUGAAAAAGUUCUCUCCUCUGCUCCUCGCCUAGGACUCCUUAUAUACUAGCUCCUAGGUCGGUUUACGCUUUUACUCUUCUGCCCUUAAGCCGGCAUAGCAUAAAAAUGGAGAUAUUCCAUUUUUCCCGAUCUUCACAAUUAUCUUCAAAACUUCCGUAUUUAUCCGCGGAAACUUGACAUUUAUCCUUCCUUGUGGGCCAAGCGUAAACCAUGCUGUUGUUUACGGGCUUUUGGUUAGGAAAAUCGUAGGAUGGGCUUCGAAUCGUGUUUUAGGUCCCUUUGGGCCGUCUUCCGACUCGACACGUUUACUACAAGUUUUACGCGGUUUCUAAUCCGCAAAGUUUGAUCGAUGAAUUAGAAUAGCGGGAAACAUGGACUGAGCUUGCUACGGUCUUCGGGAGAUAGCAUUCGAAGGUUUGACGAGAAUGCAUGGACUGGUGUCGUAUCGAUGUUCGGAAAGGUUCAAUCGCUACACAGCGACCGAACUUUGGCUCGAGCCCGGUCGGUACGUAGCGACCGAGUGAGACGAGUGCUCGGUCGCUACGUAGCGACCGAGCUUUGGGUUGAGCUCGGUCGCUACGUAGCGACCGAGCUUAGCUGAGAUUGGUCGUUACGUAGCGACCAAGCGGGACGAUCGCUCGGUCGCUACGUAGCGACCAAGCGGGACGAUCGCUCGGUCGCUACGUAACGACCGAUUUUUGGCUCGAGCUCGGUCGCUACAUAGCGACCAAGCGGGAUGAUCGCUCGGUCACUACGUAGCGACCGAGCUUGGCUGAGCUUGGUCGCUACGUAGCAACCGAGCGGGACGAUCGCUCGGUCGCUACGUAGCGACCAAGCUUGGGCUCGAUCUCGGUCGCUACGUAGCGACCGAGCGGGACGAUCGCUCGGUCGCUACGUAGCGACCGAGCUUGGCUGAGCUUGGUCGCUACGUAGCGACCGAGCGGGACGAUCGCUCGGUCGCUACGUAGCGACCGAGCUUUGGCUCGAGCUCGGUCGCUACAUAGCGACCGAGCGGGACGAUCGCUCGGUCGCUACGUAGCGACCUGUUUCGAGCUUUUUGUCGGACAUCUCGAUUCUUUCUUCCGUAAAGCUUUUUCGUAAGAAAGAGUCUAUUUCGAAAAAAACUCUUCGGAGAAAUUCUUAUUUUCCUCCUAGGACGUUUUGAAUGUUAAAUUUGUCGUAACCGUUUUUGACCCCAACACUGAUGGACAGCCACAUACGUUCUGAGUGUACUGAUGGACAGCCACAAACGUCCUGUGUGUGCUGACGGACACAGACGGACGUCCUGUGUGUGCUGACGAACACACACGGACGGCCUGUGUGUACUAAACAGACAGCCAAUGUGGGCCAAAAUCAUCCGAACAGUCCACAGGAAGGGCCAGCAUGCUGAGUCCAAGAACCAGCGUGCUGAUAUGUUUACUGAUGGACAGCCACGGACGUCUUGUGUGUGCUGACGGACCACGAACACACACGGACAGCCACAGACGUCCUGUGUGUGCUGGCGGACACCCACAGACGUCCUGUGUGUACUGAACAGACAGACCACUUGGGCCAAAAUCACCCAAACAGUCGACGAGAAGGGCCAGCGUGCUGAGUCCAAAGACCAACGUGCUGAUAUGUGUACUGAUGGACGGCCACGGACGUCCUGUGUGUGCUGACGGACACAGACGAACACACAGACAGCCACAGACGUCCUGUGUGUGCUGACGGACACACAGGGACGUCCUAUGUGUGCUGAUGGACACCCACGGACGUCCUGUGUGUGCUGACGGACACACACAGACACACAAGGACACACACAGACAGCCACAGACGUCCUGUGUGUACUGAUGGACAGCCACGGACGUCAUGUGUGUGCUGGCGGACACCCACAGACGUCCUAUGUGUACUGAACAGACAGACCCAAACAGUCCAUGGGAAGGGCCAGCGUGCUGAGUCCAAGGACCAACGUGCUGAUAUGUGUAGUGAUGGACAGCCACGGACUUCCUGUGUGUGAUGACGGACACACAUGGACACACAUAGAGGGCCACAGACGUCCUGUGUGUGCUGACGGACACACAGGGACGUCCUGUGUGUGCUGACGGACACCCACAGACAUCCUGUGUGUGUUGAUGGACACACACUGACAGCCACAUACGUCUUGUGUGUGCUGACGGACAGCCACAUACAGCCACGGACGUCCUGUGUGUGCUGGCGGACACCCACGGACGUCCUGUGUGUACUGAACAGACAGCCCACGUGGGCCAAAAUCACCCAAACAGUUCAUGGGAAGGGCCAGCGUGCUGAGUCCAAGGACCAACGUGCUGAUAUGUGUACUGAUUGAAAGCCACGGACGUCCUGUGGGUGCUGACGGACACAAACGGACACACACGGACACUCACAGACAGCCACGGACGUCCUGUGUGUGCUGGCGGACACCCAUGAACGUCCUGUGUGUACUGAACAGACAGCCCACAGAGGCCAAAAUCACCCGAACAGUCCACGGGAAGGGUCAGCGUGCUGAGUCCAAGGACCAGCGUGCUGAUAUGUGUACUGAUGGAUUGCCACUGGCGUCCUGUGUGUGCUGACGGAUACACAUGGACACACAGAGACAGCCACGAACGUCCUGUGUGUGCUGACGGACACACACGGACGUCCUGUGUGUGCUGACGGACAAGCACAGAUGUCCUGUGUGUAUUGAACAUACAGCCCACGUGGGCCAAAAUCACCCAAACAGUCCACGGGAAGGGUCAGCAUGCUGAUUCCAAGGACCAACGUGCUGAUAUGUGUACUGAUAGACAGCCACUGACGUCCUGUGUGUGCUGACGGACACACACGGACAAACAUGGACAGCCCCGGACGUCUUGUGUGUGCUGACGGAGACACACGUAUGUCCUAUGUGUGGUGAUGGACACUCACGGACGUCCUGUGUCUACUGAACAGACGGCCCAUGUGGGCCAACAUCACCCGAACAGUCCACGGACAGUCUAUGGUUGUCCAAAAUCAGCCACGGGAAGGACCAACGUACUGAUAUGUGAACUGAUGGACAGCCACAGACAUUCUGUGUGUGCUGAGGGACAGCCACGGACGUCCUGUAUGUGCUGACGGACACACACGGACGUCCUGUGUGUGCUGACGAACACACACGGACGGCCUGUGUGUACUGAACAGACAGCCAAUGUGGGCCAAAGUCACCCGAACAGUCCACGGGAAGGGCCAGCAUGCUGAGUCUAAGGACCUGCGCGCUGAUAUGUUUACUGAUGGACAGCCACAGACGUCCUGUGUGUGCUGACAUACACACACGAACACACACAGGCAGCCACAGACGUCCUGUGUGUGCUGGCGGACACCCACGGCCGUCCUGUAUGUACUGAACAGACAGACCACGUGGGCCAAAAUCACCCAAACAGUCCACGGGAAGGGCCAGCGUGCUGAGUCCAUGGACACACAGACUGCCACAGACAUUCUGUGUGUGCUGACAGACACACACGGCCGUCAUGUGUGUGCUGACGGACAGCCACGGACGUCCUGUGUGUGCUGAUGGACACACACGGACAAUCACGGAUGUCCUGUGUGUGAUGACGGACAGCCACAGACGUCCUGUGUGUGCUGGCAGACACCCACGGCCAGUCACAGACGUCCUGUGUGUUAUGACGGACAGCCACAGAUGUCAUGUGUGAUAGACUGCGGUCUACAGAUCAGUACAUGGAGCCGAACACACGGACGUCAUGUGUGUGCUGACGGACACACACAGACACACAAGGACAUCCACUUACGUCCUGUGUGUGCUGGCGGACAGCCACGGACGUCCUGUGUGUGCUGGCGGAUACCCACAGACGUCCUGUGUGUGCUGACGGACACCCAAAGAGGUCCUGUGUGUACUGAACAGACAGCCCACAUGGGACAAAAUCACCCACACAGUCCACAGGAAGGGCCAGGGUGCUGAGUCCAAGGACCAACGUGCUGAUAUGUGUACUGAUGGACAGCCACGGACGUCCUGUGUGUGCUGACGGACACACACGGACGUCAUGUGUGUGCGGACGGACACCCACGGACGUCCUAUGUGUACUGAACAGACAGCCCACGUCGGCCAAAAUCACCCGAACAGUCCACGGGAAGGGUCAGCGUGCUGAGUCCAAGGACCAACGUGCUGAUAUGUGUACUGAUGGACAGCCACGGACUUCCUGUGUGUGCUGACGGACACACAUGGACACACACAGACAGCCACUGACGUCCUGUGUGUGCUGACGGACACACACGGACGUCCUGUGUGUGCUGACGGACACCCACGGACGUCCUGUGUGUACUUAACAGACAGCCCACGUGGGCCAAAAUCACCCGAACAGUCCACGGGAGGGGCCAGCGAGCUGAUAUGUUUACUAAUGGACAGCCACAUACAUCCUGUGUGUGCUGACGGACACACACGCACACACACAGACGUCUUGUGUGUGCUGAUGGACACACACGGACGUCCUGUGUGUGCUGACAGAUAGCCACGAACAGCCACGAACAUCCUGUGUAUGCUGGCAGACACCCACAUACACACACGGAUAGCCACGGACGUCCUGUGUGUGCUGACAGACAGCCACGAACAGCCUCAAACGUCAUGUGUGUGCUGGCGGACACCCACGGAUGUCCUGUGUGUACUGAACAGACAGCCCACGUGGGCCAAAAUGACCCAAACAGUCCACGGGAAGGGCCAGCGUGCUGAGUCCAAGGACCAACGUGCUGAUAUGUGUACUGAUGGACAGCCACGGACGUCCUGUGUGUGCUGACGAACACACACGGAUACACACAGACAGCCACGGACGUCCUGUGUGUGAUGGCGGACACCCACAGACGUUCUGUGUGUACUCAACAGACAGCCCAAGAGGGCCAAAAUCACCCGAACUGUCCACGGGAAGGGUCAGCAUGCUGAGUCCAAGGACCAACGUGCUGAUAUGUGUACUGAUGGACAGCCACGGACAUCCUGUGUGUGCUGACAAACACACACAGACACACACGGACAGCCACGGACGUCCUGUGUGUGCUGACGGACACAGACGGAAAGACACGAACAGCCAUGGACGUCCUGUGUGUACUGACCAGACAGCCCAUGUGGGCCAAAAUCACCCGAACAGUCCACGGGAAGGGCCAGCGUGCUGAGUCCAAGGACCAGUGUGCUGAUAUGUGUACUGAUGGACAGCCACGGACGUCCUGUGUGUGCUGACAGACACACACGGACGUUCUAUGUGUGCUGACGGACACAGAUGGACGUCCUAUGUGUGCUGACGGACAGCCAUUGACAGCCACGAAUGUCCUGUGUGUGCUGGCGGACACCCACAUACACACACGGACACACACGGACAGCCACAGACGUCAUGUGUGUGCUGACGGACAGCCAAAGACAGCCACGGACGUCCUGUGUGUGCUGGCGGUGUAAGACCCGAUCCCGGCCACCUAGGCCGCGGUCGAUGCCUCAUGUCGCUCGGUCCUCUUCCUGGCCGAACCUCUUAAUUUUUGCCCUUUAUUUAUAAUAUCGCCUAAAGGCGAGGGCUAACUUAGAUCUUUGCUAAAGACUUCUCUAGUCAUUAAUAGCCUAGAUCCUUUCAACAGAUACGCAGCGGAUUAUUCUGUAGUUAACCAUUGGUCUAAAACCAAUCUAACACUUGUCUGGUCGAAUCACCUUAGCCUUUGUCAGUUUACUCAACUACCAAUUAGCUUAAAGGUCAAUCCUAAACCCAAACCAAGCCAUACAAUUAUGAGGUUUCAUUCCCCUAAACCAUUCUAUCUAGAUCUAAAUAAGUAAAUGCUAGAUCAUACCUUUGCCACAUCUACGAAGCUUAUUAGCUCAUCGGUCCUCCAUUGACUCGAAUUGCUCUUGCUUGACAGCUGGACCACGAUCACUCAAUGAUCUUACUUAAGGUCCUUAUCUUGAUUCCUGCAUCAAACAACUCCCCUAGGUACUUAGUCAUUCAACCAACCAUCCCCACAGACAUACGUAACCUUUGAGAAGUCUUUGAAAGGAUAAGGGUUUGCAUCUGGCCUUUCUCGGCUCAUGCACACUCAAACAUCCCCUUGACAUAUAGGCAAUAGUACCCAAUCCAUAUUCUGGACUGACAAAUCUCAUUAGAUCCUAAGUCAAUCAACCAACAAUCCUCACAUGACUUGGAACUGAUGAGUCAUCAUCUGGCCUGACCGGCUUUGGGACUUAACCCAAACAACAUAUAUGAUUUGUUCAUACCAAACAAUGCAUUCCCUAAUCAGAUUAGUUCCGACACCUUGAACUAUCAUUCAGAGGUCAGGUCGUCCAUACUCAACCAUGAUCAGAUCUUACACGGCCUUCCUUGAGCAAUCACACUUAGGCUCAGUAUCUAUAGUCUACGACACAUAGUACUAGCCAUACACUUCGUCGUGACUCUUAGCCAAUCUCGAAGCUAUCAACACCAAGGUUGAUAUCUAGAAGCAUCACAUCAAUACUCCUACUCCAGCAACGUGACUAUCCAUACUAGUGCUCGGCCAUCGAACCAUCGUCAUGAAACAUGAUCCGACCACCAGACUUUAUAAGCCAUCGUCUACUUAGCAGGUACUGAUAUAACCGGCCUUCCAUUGCCAUCAUGUGGGUCUACGCCCUACAUAAUAAAUGCAUAUGGCGCCUAUCCUACUCACCAACCCAAGGUUUAUUGUAAGAUAUACCACUUAGCCUUUGCGUCUAAAGCCAUCCAACCAUAUCCGGAUCGUCCAUAGUCCCGUCUAACCGUCUGGUUAAGAUCUACAUGCGAUCGACCAGUUAUAAGUCUGGACCAAAGGCUCACGGACCUUCUUACCUGAUCCGACCCAAAGCCUGGAUCCAUACCAGAGAGUAAGGCCCAAAACCAAACCGGAUUGCCUUGCAACCAAUCAGACCUUGCGACACAACACUCCGGUUAAACUAACCGUCCAUCCGUUUGACUAUGCAGCCGCGGACUGUCCACUUGGUUCGGCCUAAGCCUUGAACCAAUGGCACCGUUUGGAACUAACACCCUUUGGGAACUAGUACCCUUUGGACACUCGUGCCUCUUGGCAACUCAUGACCCUUGGCAACUCGCACCCAUUCAGAUGUUCCAACCGUUCGACCUAACUGUCCGUACGGACUGUCUGGUCUGUACGUGUGUCCGGCCUAUGGCCAAAGGACCACGCCUUAACCUACACAAGUCAUGAACCAUUGUGACUGUUCAGGGAAGGGUUGCAACCGUUCAGAACAGAACAGAACCGCCCCUAUCCAAUCAGAUCACCUGAGGCCGGUUUAGACCAUGCGCGUGCCUAACUCGACGGUUAUGGACCGCGACCGCAUUACUCUACCAGAACCACGGUUUUAACCAAUCCCAACAUAUCCACAAGGCCACGCCAAUGUACAGAAGGAGUAGAAGAAGAAUUGGAUGAAAAUAAUGAGAAGAAUAAGACACAAUCCAAACGCCCAUGGCUAGACCGGUUCGGACUGUCCGAUUGUCUUAGCCGAUGAGUCGGUGGUUACCCCACUGACCCUAUCUGACUGAACCACGGCUUUGGAGUCCUUCUCCAGACCUUUCUCUAUGCCUUGGGUAUUAAUAACCACACGGCCUCCUCUCUCCUAAAACGUUCUCCUUUCCGGAGAUACAAAACCACCACGACCGGCCCUUUUCCAGCCGAUCUCUUGGCCGGUACUCUCUCUCUCUCUCUCUCUCUCUACGUUUUUCUAUUAGCAUUUUACUCUCGAAUUGGAUAAUGAAACCAACAGGAGAGGCCCCAUAUUUAUAGAAAACGAGGGGGUAAGUCUUGCCCCACGAACAGGCACGACUUGCUAGCGAACAGGCACCAUCGGCCAAGGGUUGUGCCCUCUAGGCCACUUGCAUCCCAUCACCCUUUCUGAUUGGGUUUGGGGUCGGUCAUAAGACCAACACACGCCCCAAGCCUCCUGGACUUAGCCCACGGCCUUGUCCAAAGACCCAACAGAACAUGGCCUCAUGGCCGGACCUCACAGCCCGCCACUGACCCGGACCCGUACCAUCGGCCUAAAGCCCGAACAGUCCGUCUAGCUGAGAUGAGCUGACUUUCAGCUGUCUCAGAUGAGUGAGCUAGUAGUCCAGCUAGUGGAGCUGACUUAGUAGGGACUGAGCUGGAGUGAACUAAACCUAGCUUCGUUGAGCUGGUCGAGCUACUCGUCUACUUCUUCCAGUUACCGUCUUACUCGUCCUAGCUGUCUCUUAGCUUAUAUAAGGUUAAGUCUAAGUUUCCUUAUGUUCUUAACCUUCUUUUUCGACCAUUGAACGCUUGCCUUGAUGUCCUAUGACUGGCUGGUACGUUUCCUCGAACCAUGGGCGUCCUGACAAUCCUUUCCAGGAUUGGGGGCGUGACAAGUCUCCCCCACUUUUAAUGGAUUCGUCCUCGAAUCCGGUGAUGAUUAUACCUUGUCCCAAGACAAAAUAGUCCAACCGAACUUAUUCUAGGCUUGAUCAGAGAAUAGAACAAACUUGAUUCAAAACCACUAAUUGACCACUUUGAUGAUCAAAUUCCUUUGACCAUCGUUUUACAAGUCUCCCCCACUUGAUAAGGAUUUAACCACAAAAAUCCUAUCAAAUGGUCCUUUCUGGUUUUGCUGAUGGCACCCUUACUUGUCUACUUCGACCAUAGUCGAGGGUCCAUCAAGCACCCAUUCAAGUGAUACUUGAAAAUCCUUCCAAAGAAAUUCCUUGUGUCACUGGCCGAACUCUCCAGGUUGCGGUCCUAGUAUCCAACAAGUCUAUGUCUUUCCUUUGAAUAGCUUCUUCUUCAGAUUUUAUUCUUUCUCUGAUCAUAGUCCAAGACUAUAUCAUAAUCAGUCCUUAGGAACUUGCUGCAUACUCGAGCCUUAGUAGAUUUGGCAAAUCCCCACACCACUCGAUGUACCAGUCAAGUCCUCACGAACUUGUUCCAAUCUUUAGGCUGCUCGUCCUACAACGAGUCCUAACAGAUUGUUAUGGUUCUUUUGUCCUUCAUGGACAAUAAGGUUCAUGACCUCAGCCACAACGUACUGGAUCAUCCCCUUAACCGGAUACAACCUUUUAAGGCUUGGCCACAUUGCGAUCUUAGUCCCUCCAGACUAAAAACGCCUCAGACUUGACUUCUGUCCUUCACUGGACUUUGUCAUAAUUCGAUCCUCGUCCUUUCUUGGACUCGAUCUUACUCUGGUCCUGGUCCACUCACAGACUUGACCGUUUCACCCCGACCAAAGGUCCAUCUCCGAAUAGGUCGUGGCCAGAUCCUCAUCCUUUACUGGACUUGAUCAUUCUCAACCUUUGGUCAAACUCCGACUUGGUUGUACUCCAACCAUGGUCCUCUCUCGGACGUGGUCAACUUUGGCUCUGCCAUCUCGGCCGGAGCCGACAGAAAUGAACUCUAGGACAGUGGUUCUGUCCCUGGUUCCAGUUCCAUGAUAAAUGGAUCCGACCUACCAGAGGGAACACUCUGUAGCGAACGGAACACAUCUGGAAACUCGGACACCAACGGGUCCUCAAACAGAUCUUUCAGAUCAACAGAUUUUGCCGCGCUCCAUAGUGGUAAUUGUGGUCAAAUAAAUACUUCACAAUCCCGUCUAAGCAUCCGAUCCACACGGAAUGCUGACACCACUACUUUCCUUAAAGCCGGACUCAAACAAUGGAUCUCGAUACCAACGACAUCCCAGACAGAUCAACAGAAUUGCCGUGCUCCGUAGUGGUAGUUGUGGUAAGGGUCAGCGUGCUGAGUCCAACGACCAAUGUGCUGAUAUGUGUACUGAUAGACAGCCACGGACGUCCUGUGUUUGCUGAUGGACACACAGAGACACACACGGACAGCCCCGGAUGUCCUAUGUGUGCUGACGGACACACACGGACAGCCCCGGAUGUCAUGUGUGUGCUGAUGGACACCCACGCACGUCCUGUGUGUACUGAACAGACAGCCAAUGUGGGCUAAAAUAACCCAAGCAGUCCACGGGAAGGGUCAGCGUGCUGAGUCCAAGGAUCAACGUGCUGAUAUGUGUACUGAAGGACAGUCACAGACGUCCUGUGUGUGCUGACGGACACACACGGACAGCCCUGGACGUCCGGUGUGUGCUGACAGACACACACAGAUGUCUUGUGUGUGCUGAUGGACACCCACGAACGUCCUGUGUGUACUGAACAGACAGCCCACGUGGGCCAAAAUCACCCAAACAGUCCACGGGAAGGGCCAGCGUGCUGAGUCCAAGGACCAACGUGCUGAUAUGUGUACUGAUGGACAGCCACAGACGUCCUGUGUGUGCUGACGGACACACACGGACAGACACGGACAGCCACGGACGUCAUGUGUGUGCUGACGGACACCCACGGACGUCCUGUGUGUGCUGACGUACACCCACGUAUGUCCUUUUUGUACUGAACAGACAGCCCACUUGGGCCAAAAUCACCCGAACAGUCCACGGGAAGGGCCAGCGUGCUGAUAUGUGUACUGAUGGACGUCCUGUGUGUGCUGACAGACACACAUGGACGUCCUGUGUGUGCUGACGGACACACAUGGACGUCCUGUGUGUGCUGACGGAUACACAUGGACGUCCUGUGUGUGCUGACAGACAGCCACUGACAGCCACAAACGUCAUGUGUGCUGGCGGACACCCACAGACACACACGGACACACACGGACAGCCACGGACGUCCUGUGUGUGCUGACGGACAGCCACGGACAGCCACGGACGUCCUGUGUGUGCUGGCGGACACCCACGGACGUCCUGUGUUUACUGAACAGACUGCCCACGUGGGCCAAAAUCACCCAAACAGUCCUCGGGAAGGGCCAUCAUGCGGAGUCCACAAACCAACAUGCUGAUAUGUGAACUGAUGGAUAGACACGGACGUCCUAUUUGUGCUGACGGACACAGACGGACACACAUGGACAGCCACGGACGUCCUGUGCGUACUGACCAGACAGCCCACAUGGGCCAAAAUCACCCGAACAGUCCACGGGAAGGGCCAGCGUGCUGAUAUGUGUACUGAUGGAUAGCCAUGGGCGUCCUGUGUGUGCUGAUGGAUAGCCAUGAACACCCAUGGACUUCCUGUGUGUGCUGGCGGACACCCACGGACGUCCUUUGUGUACUGAACUGACAGCCCACGUGGGCCAAAAUCACCCAAACAGUCCACGGGAAGGGCCAGGGUGCUGAGUCCAAGUACAAAAGUGAUGAUAUGUGUACUGAUGGACAGCCACGGUCAUCCUGUGUGUGCUGACGGACACACACGGACACACAUGGACAGCCGCAGACGUCCUGUGUGUGCUGACGGACACACACGGACGUCCUGUGUGUGCUGACGGACACCCACGGACGUCCUGUGUGUGCUGACGGACACACACAGACACACACGGACAGUCACAGACGUCCUAUGUGUGCUGGCGGACAGCCACAGACAGCCCACGUGGGCCAAAAUCACCCGAACAGUCCACGUAAGGGCCAGCGUGCUGAGUCCAAGGACCAACGUGCUGAUAUGUGUACUGAUGGACAGCCACAUACGUCUUGUGUGUGCUGACCGCCACACGCAGACACACACGGACGUCCUGUUUGUACUGACAGACACAGAUGGACGUCCUGUCUGUGCUGACGGACAGCCACUGAUAGCCACGAACGUCCUGCGUGUGCUGGCGGACACCCACAGACACCAAUGGACACACACGGACAGCCACGGAUGUCCUGUGUGUGCUGACGGACAGCCACGAAUGUCCUGUGUGUGCUGGCAGACACCCACGGACGUCCUGUGUGUAUUGAACAGACAGCCCACAUGGGCCAAAAUCACCCAAAGAGUCCAUAGGAAGGGCCAUCGUGCAGAGUCCAAGAACCAAUGUGCUGAUAUGUGAACUGAUGGACAGACACAGAUGUCAUGUCCCCGAUCCUGGAUAGGAUCGUCCGGACAGACUGUGGUGCGAGGAAACGCACCCUUCAGGUCAUAUGACCUAAAUACAAGUAUAUCAUGGCCUGAAGGUAAGGUUAAGGGCAUCAGGGAGCUAAGGCAUAGCUAAUCCAAGAAGGAGACAAGCUCAAAGGAGCUGGACAAGCGAGCUAGUAGCUGGACAAGAUCCAGGUGAGGCUCGAUGAAGUGAGUGAUCAGAAUGGAUCAUGGGAAAACUAAGUCUAGGUCUGGAAAUUGACCAAGGGACUUAGAAGGAUUGAAGAAGAUAAAGGAAGCAAGCUGGACACAGUGUAUAACAGCUGGGCGAUGCAGUAAGCAAGCUCGACCAGCUAGGUGAAGUGUAGUGCAGCUCGGUGUAGCUCACUGAACUGUAGGUCAGCUCCCUGAGCUGGAUGGUCUAGCUAACUCAGCUGUAUCAGCUGGGGAUCAGCUCAACUCAUCUGGACUGAGUGUUCGAGUCUUGGGCAGUUGGUUCGGGUCGGGACAGUGACCAGGCCAUGUGGAUGACCCAUGUGUACCAAUGGGCUGGAGGGCUCUUGUGGUUGGGUCAUGGGCGUGGGCAAUCAGUCUGGGCCUUGUUUGGACUUGUCCAGGAUUGGUUUGGCAGUUCCAGGGCGUGUGGUAACUGCCAUAAGCGAAAGGGUGCAAUCUGUACCAUUGAUAUAAUCAAUGGCCAGAAAUGAUACCGAAGGGAUGCAAUGGUUAAGAAGUAACCACCCCUUCUCCUAUAUAAGGAAGGCAAGUCCGUGCCUUUGCAGGCACGCCAGGGCGUCCUUCUACACCCUGAAACCCAAAGAAUCCAGAGAAAAAAAUACAGAAAGUUGGUCGGAUUCCCAAUCCAAGACCCAUGGUGGUGUGAAGGCCAUAAAGAGACAGUUUUGGGGCAGAUCAAGGGGGAAGUUGAGAACGACCCUCUGAACGGUUUUGAUCAUUGUUAACAACACCCAAAGCCUUAUCUGGAGCCUGUGAACACACGCAAAUGGUGAGGAAAGGAGGGAGUUGGCCGGAAUCCAUUCCCAAGGGCCAAUGCAGCCUUAAAGGGAGAUUGGUAUGGAAAGCAGUUCCAUGGGAAACAAAGAGGGAAGUGAUGUACGACCUUUGGAUGGUGACUGAUCAUGGAUGAUCAUGUCUAAGGCUUCCUCUGUGUCUUGGGAACACACGCAAUUGGUUAAGAGAGAAGGGGGAAGGCUUGACUCCACUCUCAAAGGCAUGAACAGCCUUGAAGAUGGAUGCAGUAUAGAAACUGGUUUCAUGGAAGUUCCAUGGAAGGAGGGAUGGGCACGAACCAUGGUUAGAUCUUAUCAAUACUGCGAGUAUGUGAUAUGGGUUUGAUGAAGGCUUGCUAGGAGGAGCAUGGACGCCCCUGAUGAGGUAACAGGUGGGGACUGCAUACCAUUUGACAUAGUCUGGUACACUAUGGGCAGAUCUGGUCCUGCAAUUACACCUUACUCUGUUUUAUGAUUAUUAAUCAUAUUAUUCAUUCUUCUUAUGAUUGAGAUUGAUGAUUAGACAUAGUAGCACUGAACCAUGGCCUGGCCGGUUCAGAAGAACCCUCCAUGGCCUUGGUUUGGCAGCUAAGUCUGGAUCUCCUACUUCCUGAUGGAUUUAUGGCGAUCUGACUUUGGAAUCUUCUUAGUGGUGAAUUAUCAUGAAUUAUCAUGGUAUUUGGGGAUUUUUAUCUGAUUGAUUUAGAGAUGGUCCCUUGGGCCGGUUCGGCUGAUCUUGGCCGAGAUCUAUGGGAUGGAGGCCGGUUCUGGGAAAUCUGAUUGGACCAUUCUCUUAGUUAUGAUUUAUCAUGAACUGUCAUGAAUUUUAAUUGAUUUUUGGAGCAGGUUUGCUUGGGGUCGAAAUUGCACCUGAGGGCAUAUUGGGGUCAGAUCCUUGUGUUAGGAUAUCUGAUCAUAUGUUUGUGUGCUGGAACAUAUUGUCACUUAUGAUAUUGAUCAUAUGGAAUUGCUGGUUAUCAACCUUGGUGUUGGUAAGGCAGGCCGUGUGUGAUCUGAUCAUGGGCAAGGAUGGACGACCUGAUCCUUGGAUGAUAGAUCAAGGUGUCUGAUCUGAUUGGUCGAAGGAUGCACCGGUGGUAAGAGCAACACUAAUCAGGUUCAGUGGGACAUGGUUCCAUGACUGAUUAGGAAGUAUGAAGACUCAUAAGAUCUGAGUCAUGUGGGGUGGUUGGUUGAUUGACUCAGGAUCUGAUGGGUAUUGUUAGUCCAUGAGCUGGACUUGGUAUCAUAAGUUGAUAAGGCAAAAGGAUGUGGGACAGUGCAUGAGCCGGUAAGGGCCAGAUGCAUGUCCUUAGCUGUUUGAAUACUUCUCAAGGGUUACUUAUGUCUGUGGGGAUGGUUGGCUGAAUGACUAAGUACCUAAGGGAGUUGUUUUGUGUGUGUAAAGGAGCUGGACGCAGUAUAUGGCAGCUGGCCAUAGCUCGGUCCUAGCUCAGUUCGAGUGUGACAGCUCGAUCAGCUGGUUUAUGAGUUCAUUCAGCUAGAGUAGUUGGGCCGAUGAGCUAACAAGUUCUGUGGGUGUGGCAAAGGUAUGAUCUAGCAAUGUUGCAUAGAUCUAGAUAGAAUGGUUAGGGGAAUGGAACCUCAGAUUUGUAUGCCUUGAUUCGGGUUCGGGAUUGACCUUGGAGCUAGCUGGUAGUUGAGUAUACUAACCAUUAGCCGAGGUGAUUCGACCAGACAAGUAUUAUAUUGGUUAUAGACCAAUGGUUAAGUAGAUACUAUUCCACUGUGCAUAAGUUGAAAGGAUCUAGCUAGGGAAUGACUAAGGUAGUCUUGAGCUAGGAUCUGAGUUAGCCCUCGCCAAUGGGCGAUAUUUUAAAUAAAGGGCAAAAUUUUUAGAGGUUCGGUCUGGGUAUGGACUGAGCGACGUGAGGCAUCGACCGCGGCCUAGUCGGCCGGGAUCGGGUCUUACAAGUUGGUAUCAGAGCAUGCUUGAUCCAGUUACGGACAGUGCUCAAGGAUGUUGAGUUCCAAACCGAAAUUAUUUCUGAAAACUAUGAUGACUUGGAACCUUAGCUGUGGUGAGCCAAGCGAGAGUUGAGGUAAGAUUGGUUUCAUGCUUGUGAACGGGGAAGUUCCAAGAUGAGCCGGCUUAGCCAAGAUACACUCUUCCACGGCAAGACCCUGAAAACAUAAAGGUUAGUUUAUCUAGUUAUUUGGGAAUAGUAGACGGAUUGGAUGAUGGACGCAAUGCAAGAUCUUUGUAUGGACGACCUGGACAAGGGAAGUAACAUGGACCAGAGAGUGGCUUAGGUUGAAAGAAACGUGCAGCACUCUCUUGGAGGUAAAUGUUAUCCCUUGGUGGCCGUUCAAAACAAGUGAGCAUAUGCAAUGUUCAUGUUAGUCUAAGGGAGACGCUACAUGGCUAGUACAUGAGUGGGCUUGUGAUCAGAUGGAUCAGCUUGGACUCAGUGUAAGUCAAGGUAGGAUUCCUUAAGAUUGAGUGAAUGGAAUGGAUCAAUUCCAAGAGGAAUUGGAAACACGAUGUUAAGUAUCUUAGUAUGAUGAGGAUUGAGGUAUACUAUAAACACUUUUGUGAAUGGUAUGGGACGUUCACAGAUGUGUGAUGCUUUGGAGAAUGGUAUGGGACAUUUUCCAAAUGUGUGAUCAAACCGAGAUCCUACUCAUCUAAGUACUUUUCGAUACUGGAACUGCACAUAGUGUUGUGAGUCCAGGAAUUAUUGGAAAAGGUUUGUUCCAGUAUGGAACAUGGGAUGGUCCUGAAUGAGUGAGUGUGGCCGGAGGGCAAGUUAUGAACUCACUCGGUCUUGUUAAGGACAUCCCUGUGGUGAUCUUGGAUAGGCUGAUGCCUAUAGAUCUGAUUGUUGUCCCCCUCAAGCAUCAUGAAGUGAUCUUGGGCAUGGACUGGUUGGGAAAGUAUCAGGCAACUCUAGAUUGUCACCGGGGAAGGGUGCAACUUGAGAACGAGUUUGGACCCCCGAUUAAGUACCAAGGAAUCAAGCCAACCUCUUGUAGUUUGGUGGUUUCAGCAGUCCAAGUAGAACGGAUGCUUGGAAAUGGUUGUGAGGCCUUUUUGGCUACCAUUUACACUGAUGAGGUUGUAGGGGCCUGUGACCCAGAGGGUAUACCGUUGGUUCGGGAAUUUCAGGAUGUGUUUGGGGCACUACAGGGCAUUACCCCUGAUAGGGCUGACCCAUUCAUCAUUGAAUUGGAACCUGGAACGGCCCCAUUAUCUAAAAAUCCAUAUAGAAUGGCACCAGCUCAGAUGGCAGAGCUGAAGAAGCAACUUGAGGAUUUGCUUGAGAAGGGGUUCAUACGCCCUAGUGUAUCACCUUGGGGAGCACCUGUAAGACCCGAUCCUGGAUUCCCCAAUCCAACCAGACCGCGGCCUCACCAAACAAUGCAACCAGUUUCAUUUACAUAUUCAAGUUCAAGUGUUAAAUAAUUCUAAGUCUUUUUCAGAGUUUUGAGGUUCCAACAUUCACACUUAAACAAUCCAACAUCGACUAGGGCAAAUAGAUAUUUCAUAGAUAAUAACCAAGGUUCAUACAUCAUUCAUCAUCCUAAUAAAUAGAUCACACACUAGAAUCGCAUAAGUUCACAAGUUGCACAAUAGGCUACAAUAAUUACACAAUUUUCAGAAUCAACCCAAUCACCACACAUCUUCCCAUGGCCGCGGUCCUCAUGGUGCUUUUCCCUUACCACGGUCCAUUUCUGGUCCUGGAUCCAACACAAACAAACACACAAUCACAAGGUUAGAUUACAAAACAAGAAUCAGUUCACAUUGCAUGGUCGGAUCCAAUCUAGUCAAGAACAAUCAUCAAAAAUGUCAAAUCUGACCCCUUUAAAAAGAGAUCCAAAUACCAAAUAAAAUUCAUGAUAAAUCAUGACAAUUCAGAAGAAAAAUAUUCCCAUAAUCAGAUUCAAAAGAACCGGCUCAGAUCAUAGUGAUCUCGGCCAUGAACAGCCCACACAAGAACAAGGGGCUUUCAUGGGGAUUUGAUCAGGCCAAGGCCUUAAGAUCGAUAGAUCCUUCCCUGUAAUAUCAUAAAACAAUCCAUAGUACAAUAUAUAUGAAGAAAACAGAGUAGAAGAAGUCAGAGUAAGGAGUGGCCAAUCGAUCCAAACCGGCCAGACUCACACGGCCAUCAUCCGCGGCCUUGUCCGGUUACUCUUGGCCACACCUCUCACCUUAGGAGUUCGGUCUCCAGGGGCGACUUCCUUCUCUUUCUCCUUUGCCUUCUCCUUGUCUUUCUGCCUCAAAUCCAUCCUCUUGAUCACACGCCCAAACACACAAGGAACACUCAAGAACAAUCUCUUGGAUCAAAUCGGCCAAUCCAAGGUUUGUGUCUCUCUUUCUCUCUUGAAUUUUCUCUGUGUUUCUCUCUGUGUGAAAGUGAGUAAAAAUCGACCAGAAUGGCAGAAAUGAGAGAGAGAGGACGACUUAAACUGUCCCCAACCGCCUGGGCGAACAGUUACCAAAAAUCACAUCCCUUCUUCCCAAAACCGUCCCAUAACCGUCCCAUAACCGCCCAUUGGCGGUUUCUCCCCUUUUCUUCCUUUGACAAAUCGAUCACUGAGCCUCAGCUCACACUCUGGAAGCUUGCCCACUCCCUGUCCCAAGCCUAAGACCAAUUUGGUCGAACCGUCCUGCACCCGGACCAUCGGCUCGCCCAGUAACCGUCCCGGACUCGUCCACACUGAUCCGAACCAGAACGCACCAUUCACCGGAUUGAGCUGACCUCCAGCUGUUCCCAGCUGAGUGAGCUAGUCCACCAGCUCCUGUGAGCUGAACAGAUCAUGGUGAACUGAAUACCAGCUUAACCGAGCUGAUUGAACUCAAACCAACACUCAUCCAGCUGCCUAAACACUCACUCAACUCUUUUACCCUUGUUUCCAUCGUAUCCUGGUUAAGUCUCAGCUGACUGAUGCCAUUAACCUUCAUUCAGGACCAUGAUACGCUUGUCUCAAGGUCUAAUGACCUGACUGGUGCGUCUCCCCGCACCAUGGCCCGUCCGGGCGAUCCUAUCUAGGAUCGGGGACAUGUCAAUUCUCCCCGACUAACUUGGGAUUCGUCCUCGAAUCCAUGUUAAGUGUUUCCUCAGGAAGAAAUUGUAUGUACCAAUCUGGAUACAUAGCUUUCAUUUUUGCUUCUGUUUCCCAAGUGAUGAGGUCCUUACCAUUGUAAUCCCACACCACUUUGAUCAUGGGAACUGUCUUCUUUCUCAUAGCUUUCUCUGACCGAUCCACAAUCCGAACCGGCAAGGUUUCCAAAGCCAGGUCCUUACCAAGGUCAGCAGGAAUCUCGGGCAAGACAAUGCCUUGUUCAGACAAGCAUUUCCGGAGUUGGUAUACAUGGAACACAUUGUGGUAUGCAUCCAUUGCUGAUAGCAAGUUCAACUUGUAUGCCACUGCACCCACUCUCUCUAUGAUCCUGAAUGGACCCAAGUACCUAGGAUCCAGUUUCUUUCGUCCAGAAACCCUGGUCCUACCCUUAAAGGUAAUCAUCUUGAGAUACACCAGGUCAUUGACCUCAAACUCAAGAUGUUUCCUACGCUUGUCUGCAUAGCUCUUUUGGCGGUCCUGCGCCUCUUUCAUCUUCUCUUUGACCAUCUGAUCUUCUCAGUGGUCUGUUCUACAAUCUCAGGACCCAACAUGCUACGCUCCCCCACUUGGGUCCAGCAUAGGGGUGUCCUGCACGGCCUACCAUACAAAGCCUCAUAUGGCGACAUACCAAUGCUUGUAUGGAAGCUGUUGUUGUAAGCAAACUCCACUAAGGGUAAGUGUUUUUCCCAAGACUCUCCCCAGUCUAACACACACGCCCUUAGCAUAUCCUCCAAGGUUUGGAUUGUCCUUUCAGACUGCCCAUCCGUUUGAGGAUGAUAAGAUGUGCUCAUAUUCACUCUGGUUCCCAAGGCCUUUUGGAAAGCCUGCCAGAAUAAGAUGAAAAUCUUGGAUCCCUGUCCGAGACAAUGCUUGCUGGAACACCAUGCAACCUCACUAUCUCGUCUAGGUACACUUGCACAAUCCUGUCGACCCCAUCCCCUUUCUUGAUAGGCAGGAAAUGAGCCGACUUGGUUAGCCGAUCAACCACAACCCAUACUGCAUCUUUCUUAUUCCUGGUCGUGGGAAACCCAGUCACAAAAUCCAUUGUGAUGUGAUCCCAUUUCCAUUCUGGUAUGGGUAGGUUCUGAAGUAGACCACUGGGAACCUGAUGUUCUGCCUUCACCAGUUGAGAAGUGGGACACUUAGCCACCCACUCUACAACAUCAGAUUUCAUCCUCACCCAAUGGUAGUACCUUUUCAGAUCCCUAUACAUCUUGUUCAGUCCAGGAUGAACUGAAAACUUAGACUUAUGAGCCUGUCUCAUAAUCUCUUCUUUGAGUUCCUUAUCAUUAGGAACACUGACCCUCCCAUUGACCAAGAUGGUACCAUUGUCAGUUGUCUGGUACUCGGUCUUGUCAUUGGCGGCUACCUUCUUUAGAUUUUCAUCCAGGCCCUGUGCUUGCCUGAUCCUGGUCAGGAGAUCGGCCUGGUUCACUGCCGCUCCAACCCCAAUGGCUCAUCUGAACCAACCAAGGUGUGAGGUUCAAGGACCUGAUCAUCCCUUCCAGUUCAUCCGCCUCCCUCUCAGAUGACACUUCAGCCCUUCUGCGGCUCAAAGCAUCAGCCACUAGGUUAGCUUUCCCAGGAUGAUAAGCUAUGUCCAGAAACAUAAUCUGCAACAAACUCCAUCCACCUCCUCUGCCUUAAGUUUAACUCAGGCUGAGUGAAUAUGUACUCAAGCUCUUAUGGUCUGUGAGUAUUUGCACCCUGGCACCAUAAAGAUAUGAUCUCCAUAUCUUUAAUGCAAAUACUACUGCAGCCAUCUCCAAAUCAUGGGUCGGAUAGUUACCCUCAUGCUUCCUUAACUGUCGGGAAGCAUAGGCUAUCACCUUCCCAUGUUGUGUCAAAACAACACCAAGACCGGUUAUGGACGCAUCCGUAUUACACCACAUAAGGCUGAUCACUCAGGCACACACCAGGACCGUGCAUUAGUCAACAUGUUCUUGAGUGCUGCAAAAACUUUUCGCCACACGCCUCAGACCCAUGUGAACUCACGUCCUUGCUGUCAGCUUACUUCCUAGGUUGAGCUUUGCUCCGAGAACCCCUUGACAUAUUUCCUGUCUUAAACCAGCCAACCCUAAGAAGCUUCUAACUUCCGUNNNNNNNNNNNNNNNNNNNNNNNNNNNNNNNNNNNNNNNNNNNNNNNNNNNNNNNNNNNNNNNNNNNNNNNNNNNNNNNNNNNNNNNNNNNNNNNNNNNNCAUGUCCCCCGAUCCUAGAUAGGAUCGGCCGCACGGGCCAUGGUGCGGGGAGACGCACCAGUCAGGUCACUAGACCUUAAGACAAGCGUAUCAUGGCCCUGAAUGAAGGUUAAGGGCAUCAGUCAUUGAGACUUAACCAGGAUACGAUGGAAAAAGGGUAAAGGAGCUGGGUGAGUGUUUAGGCAGCUGGACGAGUGUUGGUUUGAGUUCAAUCAGCUCGGUUCAGCUGGUAUUCAGUUCACCAAGAUCUGUUCAGCUCACAGGAGCUGGGACUAGCUCACUCAGCUGGGAACAGCUAGAGGUCAGCUCAAUCCGGUGAACGGUGCGUUUUGGUUCGGAUCAGUGUGGGCGAGUCCGGACGGUUACUGGGCGAGCCGAUGGUCCGGGUGCAGGACGGUUCGACCAAAUGGGUCUUAGGCUUGGGACAGGGAGUGGGCAAACUUCCAGAGUGUGAGCUGAGGCUCAGUGAUCGAUUGCCAAAGGAAGAAAAGGGGAGAAACCGCCAAUGGGCGGUUAUGGGGCGGUGGUUAUGGGGCAGUUUGGGAAGAAGGGAUGUGAUUGGUUGGUAACGUUCGCCCAGGCGGUUGGGGACAGUUUUAAAUCGUCUUCUCCCUCUCAUUUCUGCCAGACUGGUCGAUUUUUACUCAACUAGACACAGAGAGAAACACAGAGAAAAUUCAAGAGAGAAAGAGAGACACAAACCUUGGAUUGGCCGAUUUGAUCCAAGAGAUUGCUCUUGAGUGUUCCUGGUGUGUUUUGGGCGUGUGAUCAAGAGAAUGGAUUUGAGACAGAAAGACAAGGAGAAGGCAAAAGGAGAAGGAGAAGGAAGUCGCCCCUGGAGACCGAACUCCUAAGGUGAGAGGUGUGGCCAAGAGUAACCGGACAAGGCCGCGGAUGAUGGCCGUGUGAGCCUGGCCGGUUUGGAUCGAUUGGCAACUCCUUACUCUGACUUCUUCUACUCUGUUUCUUCAUAUAUAUUUGUGCUAUGGAUUGAUUUAUGAUGUUACAGGGAAGGAUCCAUUGAUCUUAAGGCCUUGGCCUGAUCAAAUUCCAUGAAAGUCCCUUGUUCUUGUGUGGGCUGUUCAUGGCCGAGAUCACUAUGAUCUGAGCCGAUUCUUUUGAAUCUGAUUAUGGGAAUAUUUUUCUUCUGAAUUAUCAUGAUUUUCAUGAAUUUUAUUUGGUAUUUGGAUCUCUUUUAGAGGGGUCAGAUUUGACAUUUUUGAUGAUUGUUCUUGACUAGAUUGGAUCCGACCAUGCAAUGUGAUUUGAUUCUUGUUUUGUAAUCUAACCUUGUGAUUGUGUGUUUGUUUGUGUUGGAUCCAGGACCAGAAAUGGACCAUGGUAAGGGAAAAGCACCAUGAGGACCGCGGCCAUGGGAAGAUGUGUGGUGAUUGGGUUGAUUCUGAAAAUUGUGUGAUUAUUGUAGCCUAUUGUGCAACUUGUGAACUUAUGCGAUUCUAGUGUGUAUUCUAUUUAUUAGGAUGAUGAAUGAUGUAUGAACCUUGGUUAAUAUCUAUGAAAUAUCUAUUUGCAUUAGUUGUUGCUUGAUUGUUUAAGUGUGAACGUUGGAACCUCCAAAACUCUGAAAAGACUUAGAGAAUUAUUUAACACUUGAACUUGAAUAUGAAACAUGGAACUGGUUGUGUUGUUUAGUGAGGCCGCGGUCUGGUUGGAUUGAGGAAUCCAGGAUCGGGUCUUACAAGUUGGUAUCAGAGCAUUCUUGAUUCUAGGAUUUGUUGGGUUAUUGGUUCACCACACACUUGGCCGUUUGGACUCAUGGUGAGAUAGUUGGGUUCUAAGUAAUCUUUUGGACUGCUUAACUUAGGAGUGAUUGAGGUUUGUGUGUUCAGUUUUGGACUAACCUUUUGUUUGUGUUUAUAACUCCUAAGGGUACAAGAAGGUACAAAUCUCGGAAAGGAAAGGAGGCAACUGGAGCGUCUGGAGCAGUGGGGCAGGAUGGUGCUGAACAGACCGGAGUGUUACCAGCUGGAACCAUUCCAACCCUAGUGCUACCCGCUCUGGUGGAGCAGGUGGACAAUGCAACCGGACUUCCAGUGGGUCCAACUCUUCCUACUGGGGUUAAUGAAACUAAUGUGGACGAGCAGCAAGAGCAAGUCCAUGGAGACGAUACUGGGUCGUCCAACGUGGGUGCUGGGAGUGGCCAGAAUGUUGAUGCAAACAAUGUUCGGGUCACUGGUGCCGAGGAGGUCAUUGAGCCGACCAUAAGGGGCUUGGUGGAGGCUAUGCAAAUCAUGGGGGCUCAGAUAGCCUCCUUGACACAGGCAUUCACACCAUUGGUGAACUCGUCCGUGGGACAGGCUAAUCCCCCGGUUCGGGUUGCUGCUGGAGCGGCUGAUGUUGGUGCUGGCCGUGUGGCUGAGGUGAUUGAGAUAGACCCACCGGUCAGGCCAGUGCGUGGUAUGGACUACCUGAAGGUACUGGAGCAUAUCUCCAAGUUGGGAACCAAACACUUUGCUGGAAGUGUUGAUCCUAUGGAGGCGGACGAGUGGAGAACCAGGUUGGUUCGAAACUUCAAGUCCACACGAUGUCCUGAGGAUUUCCAGAAGGACAUAGCAGUACACUUCCUGGAGGGAGAUGCACAUAAUUGGUGGUUAGCUUUGGACAAGCGUACCAAUGGUACCAUUGAGCACUUUGCUGACUUUGAGGUUGAGUUCAACCAUAAGUACUUUCCUGCUGAGGCGUGGGAUCGUUUGGAGUCCAAGUUCCUGGACUUGACUCAGGGACGGAGGACUGUUCGUGAGUAUGAAGAAGAGUUCAACCGACUCAGGAGGUAUGUGGGAAGAGAACUGGAGGAUGAGAAGGUUCAAGUCCGAAGGUUCAUCCGAGGCCUAAGGGUGGAACUUCGAACCUACUGUUCUGUUUGUAAGUUCCACACGGUUUCUGAGUUGGUUGAGAGGAUGGCCUUGCUGGAGACCAACCUCACCGAGGAGGGUAAGCAGAAGAUGAAGAGUGUGGUGGUAUCCUCGGGUCAGAGUGGUGACAAGAAGAGGAAGAGGGACUCGACCGAGGAGGGUAAAACCUCAAGUGGUAGGUCAGAGUGCCCUAAGUGUGGACGAUACCACGGUGGAGAGUGCUGGAAGGCCAUGGGUGCCUGUACUCGAUGUGGUAAGAUGGAUCACUCAGCCAAGGAUUGUCCAAGUCCGUUGGGUGAGUCCAGGACCUGUCACCACUGCGGCCAGAAGGGCCAUUACCGCAGGGACUGCCCUAAGCUGCAAGGCAACCAAAGUAAGGGACGUGGGGAGGCUAGCAGGCCAGUCCAGGACGAGGCCAGACCUCAACACCUCGUGUGUAUGAGCUAUCCAAGGAGGUGGUUGGGACUCAGCCUUUCCAAGCGAUCACUGGUAACAUUCUAGACUACUACUUUUACAAUUCCAGUAGAAUUGCAUGGUAUGGAAUCUAGGAUGGAUAGAUAUACUUUGAUGGGUCUUGUGUAGGGACCUUAAGUAUUGGUGGUGUGGAAACACACACAUUAUUUGAUACUGGAGCUACACAUAGUUUUGUGAGUCCAAGUAUGAUAGGAAAAGGUUUGUUCCAGUAUGGAGCAUGGGAUGGUCCUGAACGAGUGAGUGCGGCCGGAGGGCAAGUUAUGAACUCACUCGGUCUGGUUAGGGACAUCCCUGUGGUGAUCUUGGAUAGGCCGAUGCCUAUAGAUCUGAUUGUUGUCCCCCUCAAGCAUCAUGAAGUGAUCUUGGGCAUGGACUGGUUGGGAAAGUAUCGGGCAACUCUAGAUUGUCACCGGGGAAGGGUGCAACUUGAGAACGAGUUUGGACCCCCGAUCAAGUACCAAGGAAUCAAGCCAACCUCUUGUAGUUUGGUGGUUUCAGCAGUCCAAGUAGAACGGAUGCUUGGAAAUGGUUGUGAGGCCUUUUUGGCUACCAUUUACACUGAUGAGGUUGUAGGGGCCUGUGACCCAGAGGGUAUACCGUUGGUUCGGGAAUUUCAGGAUGUGUUUGGGGCACUACAGGGCAUUCCCCCUGAUAGGGCUGACCCAUUCAUCAUUGAAUUGGAACCUGGAACGGCCCCAUUAUCAAAAAGUCCAUAUAGAAUGGCACCAGCUGAGAUGGCAGAGCUGAAGAAGCAACUUGAGGAGUUGCUUGAGAAGGGGUUCAUACGCCCUAGUGUAUCACCUUGGGGAGCACCAGUCCUAUUUGUAAAGAAAAAGGAUGGUAGCUUUAGGUUGUGCAUUGAUUAUAGGGGUUUGAACAGGGUGACUGUGAAGAACAAGUACCCUUUACCCAGGAUUGAUGAGUUGUUAGAUCAACUCCGUGGAGCCAAGUGGUUCUCCAAGAUUGACCUGGCCUCUGGGUAUCAUCAGAUUCCCAUUGCACCAGAUGAUGUGAGAAAGACAGCGUUCCGGACUAGGUAUGGCCACUAUGAGUUUGUGGUUAUGCCGUUCGGACUGACCAAUGCACCUGCUGCAUUCAUGAAGAUGAUGAACGGCAUCUUCAGGGAAUACUUGGACGAGUUUGUGAUCAUCUUCAUUGAUGAUAUACUCGUGUAUUCCAAGACAAAGGAGGACCAUGAAAGACACCUUAGGGCGGUGUUGGGCCGCCUGAGAGAACAGAAGCUCUUUGCUAAGCUAAGCAAGUGUAGCUUCUGGCAGAAGAGCAUUGGGUUCCUUGGACAUGUGGUGUCUGAUAAAGGAGUCUCAGUGGAUCAAGAUAAGAUCAAAUGUAUUCAGGAAUGGCCACAGCCAAAGAAUGCUACGGAAGUUAGAAGCUUCUUGGGGUUGGCUGGUUAUUACAGGAAAUAUGUCAAGGGGUUCUCGAGCAUAGCUCAACCUAUGACUAAGCUGACAGGCAAGGACGUGAGGUUCACAUGGUCUGAGGAGUGUGAGGAAAGUUUUGCAGCACUCAAGAACAUGUUGACUAAUGCACCUGUCCUGGUGUUGCCUGAGGCUGAUCAGCCUUAUGUGGUGUAUACGGAUGCAUCCAUAACUGGUCUUGGUUGUGUUUUGACACAACAUGGGAAGGUGAUAGCCUAUGCUUCCAGACAGCUAAGGAAGCAUGAGGGUAACUAUCCGACUCAUGAUUUGGAGAUGGCUGCAGUAGUAUUUGCAUUAAAGAUAUGGAGAUCAUAUCUUUAUGGAGCCAAGGUGCAAAUACUCACAGACCAUAAGAGCUUGAAGUACAUAUUCACUCAGCCUGAGUUAAACUUAAGGCAGAGGCGAUGGAUGGAGUUUGUUGCAGAUUAUGAUCUGGACAUAGCUUAUCAUCCUGGAAAAGCUAACCUAGUGGCUGAUGCUUUAAGCCGCAGAAGGGCUGAAGUGUCAUCUGAGAGGGAGGCGGAUGAACUGGAAGGGAUGAUCAGGUCCUUGAACCUCAACACCUUGGUUGGUUCAGAUGAGCCAUUGGGGUUGGAGGCAGUGAACCAGGCCGAUCUCCUGACCAGGAUCAGGCAAGCACAGGGCUGGAUGAAAACCUAAAGAAGGUAGCCGCCAAUGACAAGACUGAGUACCAGACAACUGAGAAUGGUACCAUCUUGGUUAAUGGGAGGGUCAGUGUUCCUAAUGAUAAGGAACUCAAAGAAGAGAUUAUGAGACAGGCUCAUAAGUCUAAGUUUUCAGUUCAUCCUGGACUGAACAAGAUGUAUAGGGAUCUGAAAAGGUACUACCAUUGGGUGAGGAUGAAAUCUGAUGUUGCAGAGUGGGUGGCUAAGUGUCCCACUUGUCAACUGGUGAAGGCAGAACAUCAGGUUCCCAGUGGUCUACUCCAGAACCUACCCAUACCAGAAUGGAAAUGGGAUCACAUCACAAUGGAUUUUGUGACUGGGUUUCCCACAACCAGGAAUAAGAAAGAUGCGGUAUGGGUUGUGGUUGAUCGGCUGACCAAGUCGGCUCAUUUCCUGCCCAUCAAGAAAGGGGAUGGGGUCGACAGGAUUGUGCAAGUGUACCUAGACGAGAUAGUGAGGUUGCAUGGUGUUCCAGCAAGCAUUGUCUCGGACAGGGAUCCAAGAUUUACAUCUUAUUUCUGGCAGGCUUUCCAAAAGGCCUUGGGAACCAGAGUGAAUAUGAGCACAUCUUAUCAUCCUCAAACGGAUGGGCAGUCUGAAAGGACAAUCCAAACCUUGGAGGAUAUGCUAAGGGCAUGUGUGUUAGACUGGGGAGAGUCUUGGGAAAAACACUUACCCUUAGUGGAAUUUGCUUAUAACAACAGCUUCCAUACAAGCAUUGGUAUGUCGCCAUAUGAGGCUUUGUAUGGUAGGCCGUGCAGGACACCCCUAUGCUGGACCCAAGUGGGGGAGCGUAGCAUGUUGGGUCCUGAGAUUGUAGAACAGACCACUGAGAGGAUCAGGAUGGUCAAAGAGAAGAUGAAAGAGGCGUAGGACCGCCAAAAGAGCUAUGCAGACAAGCGUAGGAAACAUCUUGAGUUUGAGGUCAAUGACCUGGUGUAUCUCAAGAUGAUUACCUUUAAGGGUAGGACCAGGGUUUCUGGACGAAAGAAACUGGAUCCUAGGUACUUGGGUCCAUUCAGAAUCAUAGAGAGAGUGGGUGCAGUGGCAUACAAGUUGGACUUGCCAUCAGCAAUGGAUGCAUACCACAAUGUGUUCCAUGUAUCCCAACUCCGGAAAUGCUUGUCUGAACAAGACAUUGUCUUGCCCGAGGUUCCUGCUGACCUUGGUAAGGACCUGGCUUUGGAAACUUUGCCGGUUCGGAUUGUGGAUCGGUCAGAGAAAGCUAUGAGAAAGAAGACAGUUCCCAUGAUCAAAGUGGUGUGGGAUUACAAUGGUAAAGACCUCAUCACUUGGGAAACAGAAGCAAAAAUGAAAGCGAUGUAUCCAGAUUGGUAUAGACAAUUUCUUCCUGAGGAAACACUUAACAUGGAUUCGAGGACGAAUCCCAAGUUAGUGGGGGAGACUUGUCAUGUCCCCGAUCCUAGAUAGGAUCGGCCGGACGGGCCAUGGUGCGGGGAGACGCACCAGUCAGGUCAUUAGACCUUAAGACAAGCGUAUCAUGGCCCUGAAUGAAGGUUAAGGGCAUCAGUCAGCUGAGACUUAACCAGGAUACGAUGGAAACAAGGGUAAAGGAGCUGGGUGAGUGUUUAGGCAGCUGGACGAGUGAUGGUUUGAGUUCAAUCAGCUCGGUUCAGCUGGUAUUCAGUUCACCAUGAUCUGUUCAGCUCACAGGAGCUGGUGGACUAGCUCACUCAGCUGGGAACAGCUGGAGGUCAGCUCAAUCCGGUGAACGGUGCGUUUUGGUUCGGAUCAGUGUGGGCGAGUCCGGGACGGUUACUGGGCGAGCCGAUGGUCCGGGUGCAGGACGGUUCGAUCAAGUGGGUCUUAGGCUUGGGACAGGGAGUGGCCAAACUUCCAGAGUGUGAGCUGAGGCUCAGUGAUCGAUUUAUCAAAGGAAGAAAAGGGGAGAAACCGCCACUGGGCGGUUAUGGGGCGGUUAUGGGGCGGUUUUGGGAAGAAGGGAUGGGAUUUUUGGUAACUGUUCGCCCAGGCGGUUGGGGGCAGUUUAAAUCGUCUUCUCCCUCUCAUUUCUGCCAUACUGGUCGAUUUUUACUCAACUUGACACAGAGAGAAACACAAAGAAAAUUCAAGAGAGAAAGAGAG
rnacentral:lncRNA from 1 species